rnacentral:lncRNA from 1 species
CCUUCAAAACCAAAUAUGAAAGAGGGACAAUGACACCUCAAUGCCGAGACCUUGAUAGGAUAAUUGAACAGAACAAUUAUACUAAUCAAGCUCUUCACACCAUUUCCCAACAGAUAGAGGAUGUUAAGAGUCCUCCUCUUUCUGCCCCAUUGCCGGCUAAGAGCACUCCAAGCUCUAAGCCUCUUUCCAAUCCUAUCUUCAAACUCCCAGAGUUUCACAAAGAUAAGUUCCCAGAU